UAAGGAAUAUUGGACAAUGGAGGCAACUCUGAUCCAGCCAUGCCGCGUGAAGGAAUAAAGCCCUAUGGGUUGUAAACUUCUUUUAGACGGGACAAAACCCCUUUACGUGUAAAGGGUUGAUGGUACUGUCAGAAUAAGCAUCGGCUAACUUCGUGCCAGCAGCCGCGGUAAUACGAAGGAUGCAAGCGUUAUCCGGAAUUAUUGGGUUUAAAGGGUGCGUAGGCGGACUAAUAAGUCAGUGGUGAAAGCCUGCAGCUUAACUGCAGAAUUGCCAUGGAUACUGUUAGUCUUGAGUACAGUUGAGGUAGGCGGAAUGUGGCAUGUAGUGGUGAAAUGCUUAGAUAUGACACAGAACACCGAUUACGAAGGCAGCUUGCUAAGCUGUAACUGACGCUGAAGCACGAAAGCGUGGGGAGC
rnacentral:rRNA from 1 species